rnacentral:rRNA from 1 species
GGGGUUGGACGCUGGCCCCGUAAAGGCAUGUGCGCACCCCUCAUUUCUAAUCCCCACAUACAUACACCUGUGCACCUAUGGCGAGUGCCUCCCGUUUGGAGCCGUCCGACGCGCGCGUACCCCUUUUCUGUCCCUUUCGAGGGGGAAAGGGGGGGCGUGCGUUUGGGCCGAGGCGGCGCUCCCUCCUUUCCAUUAAGCCUGUUCAAAUGCAUGUCUUUGAAGCUCUACGGAGCGAGCAAUGAAAACAACUUUCAACAACGGAUCUCUUGGCUUUUGCAUCGAUGAAGAACGCCGCGAAAGUGCGAAACGUAAUGUGAAUUGCAGAAUUCAGUGAAUCAUCGAAUCUUUGAACGCAUCUUGCGCUCCUCGGUAUUCCGAGGAGCAUGCCUGUUUGAGUGCCAUGAACUACCCUCGACCCCUUCGAUCCCUUUGUCGGGGAAGGAAGGGGUUGGAUUUUGGACGCUUGCGGUCGGGUCCCUUUCCUGCCCGCUCGUCUUCAAAUGCAUUAGCUGGUCCCCUCUUUAGAGUCGGUUCGACGACGGUGUGAUAACAAACGCUUCGUUGACUGUGGCGCCGUUUGGGUCGACUCUGAACCGGGCCGCUUACAGCCGUCUUUGGACAAAAAUGCCAUUCGGCCUCAAAUC